UACGUAGGGUGCAAGCGUUGUCCGGAAUUAUUGGGCGUAAAGAGCUCGUAGGUGGUCUGUCGCGUCGGCUGUGAAAUCCCGAGGCUCAACCUCGGGCCUGCAGUCGAUACGGGCAGACUAGAGUUCGGUAGGGGAGACUGGAAUUCCUGGUGUAGCGGUGGAAUGCGCAGAUAUCAGGAGGAACACCGGUGGCGAAGGCGGGUCUCUGGGCCGAAACUGACACUGAGGAGCGAAAGCGUGGGGAGCAAACAGG
rnacentral:rRNA from 1 species